AUGGUGACCCUCACGCCGCUGCUGGAUCCGUCCAAAGGGAGCAGCAACACGCACACGCUUUGGAUCGUGGCGAUAGCAGUCCCCGUGACCGUGCUCAUCUGCGGCUUCUUGGCAUGUUUCAUGUGGAUGAGAAGGCGAAGAAGAAGAGGGAGGGUGAACAUGCCAACCAUGUCCAUGGAGAUGGAGCAGGUGCUCAAGCUAUGGAAAAUCGAAGAGAGCGACUCCGAGUUCUCGCUCCACGAUUUCGACCAGAUCGCAGACGCCACCAGAAACUUCUCCGACGACUACAAGCUCGGCCAGGGUGGCUUUGGCGCUGUUUACAGGGGCGAACUGCCAGGCGGGCUUGAGGUCGCAAUCAAGAGGCUCUCUACGUGCUCCGUGCAGGGGUUGAUGGAAUUCAAGACCGAGAUCCAGCUGAUCGCCAAGCUUCAGCACACCAACCUUGUCAGGCUCCUGGGCUGCUGCCUCCAGGCCGAGGAGAAGAUGCUCAUAUACGAGUACAUGCACAACAAAAGCUUGGACUGCUUCAUCUUCGAUAGUGCGAAGGGGGCGAUACUGAACUGGGAGCGGCGCUUCCGAAUAAUCGAUGGGAUCGCGCAGGGGCUUCUUUACAUGCACAAGCAUUCCCGCUUGCGAGUUAUACACAGGGAUCUAAAAGCGAGCAACAUCCUCUUGGAUCGCGACAUGAACCCCAAGAUCUCGGACUUCGGUUUGGCGAGGAUAUUCUGCUCCAAUGUCACGGAGGCCAACACGACCAGGGUCGUCGGCACGCACGGUUACAUCGCUCCAGAGUAUGCUUCAGAGGGUCUCUUCUCCACCAAAUCCGACGUUUUCAGCUUGGGCGUCUUGCUCCUGGAGAUAAUAAGUGGGAAGAGGACUGCAGGCUUCUACCAGUACGGAAAGUUCUUCAAUCUCACAGGAUAUGCUUACCAGUUGUGGCAAGAGGCGAAAUGGCACGAGAUGGUCGAUCAGGUACUCGGGGUCGACUACCCGGUGACGGAGUUGAUGAAGUGCGUCCAGGUGGCGUUGUUGUGCGUCCAGGACAGCGCCGACGAUCGACCCAGCAUGUCCGAUGUCGUCGCCAUGCUCAGCGGCGAGGGGCUCACGCUGCCGGAGCCCCGACAGCCGGCCUACUUCAACGUUAGGUUAUCAAGCUUACCGGAGUCAAAUAGUUCCUUUGGUGAAUCGUCCUACAUCAGUAACGUCGCCUUGACUGAUGAAGACGGCAGAUAA
rnacentral:rRNA from 1 species